AGGGUUUGAUUAUGGCUCAGGAUGAACGCUGGCGGCGUGCUUAACACAUGCAAGUCGAACGAAGCACUUGAAACAGAUUCUUCGGAUGAAGUUUCCUGUGACUGAGUGGCGGACGGGUGAGUAACGCGUGGGUAACCUGCCUCAUACAGGGGGAUAACAGUUAGAAAUGGCUGCUAAUACCGCAUAAGCGCACGGCAUCGCAUGAUGCAGUGUGAAAAACUCCGGUGGUAUGAGAUGGACCCGCGUUGGAUUAGCUAGUUGGCAGGGUAACGGCCUACCAAGGCGACGAUCCAUAGCCGGCCUGAGAGGGUGGACGGCCACAUUGGGACUGAGACACGGCCCAG
rnacentral:rRNA from 1 species